AGCUCCAGUAGCGUAUAUUAAAGUUGUUGCAGUUAAAAAGCUCGUAGUUGGAUUUCUGGCGAACCGUUGCGGCCCGUGCUCGUUUCGGGCGUGUGUGCCGUGUCGUGUUUGUCAUCCUUCCAGAGAGCUGCGUCUACCAUUCACUUGGCCGGACGUACGCGAUCUGGAUCAAUUACUUUGAAAAAAUUAGAGUGUUUAAAGCAGGCUUUCGCUAUGAAUACAUUAGCAUGGAAUAAUAAUUUAGGACUUCGGUUCUAUUUUGUUGGUUUCUAGGACUGAAGUAAUGAUUGAUAGGGACAGUUGGGGGUGCUAGUAUUCCGCGGCCAGAGGUGAAAUUCUUGGAUUCGCGGAAGACUAACUACUGCGAAAGCAUUCACCAAGGAUGUCUUCU
rnacentral:rRNA from 1 species